rnacentral:rRNA from 1 species
GACGAACGCUGGCGGCGUGCCUAAUACAUGCAAGUAGAACGCUGAAGAGAGGAGCUUGCUCUUCUUGGAUGAGUUGCGAACGGGUGAGUAACGCGUAGGUAACCUGCCUUGUAGCGGGGGAUAACUAUUGGAAACGAUAGCUAAUACCGCAUAACAAUGGAUGACACAUGUCAUUUAUUUGAAAGGGGCAAUUGCUCCACUACAAGAUGGACCUGCGUUGUAUUAGCUAGUAGGUGAGGUAAUGGCUCACCUAGGCGACGAUACAUAGCCGACCUGAGAGGGGGAGCGGCCACACGGGAACGGCGACACGGGGGAGACGCCGACGGGAGGCAGCAGUAGGGAAUCGGACGCAAUGGGCGAAAGCUUGACGGAGCAACGUAGAGGGAGUGAUGAAGGGCUACGGAGCGUAAAACGCGGGUAUGAGGGAAGAACAAAGGGGUAAGUAACUAGGCACGGCUUGACGGGACCUAAUCAGAAAGCCACGGCGAACUACGGG